CUUCCCACGCACACACAGGAGAGAAAAAAAACACAGGACCGCGUCCGCAGACACCUUUGCGGUUGCGGCUAGCGCAAGCGGCAGCCGGCGGGGGGCUGGGGAGCUGGGGCGCCAAGGCAGGGCAGGAGCUCCCCGGCCGGCCGCCCGGACCGCGACCUGGGCAUUUGGGUGCAUGCAUCGCCACAUCGGCCGCUGGAGGGCCAAGCCGCCAGUGGUACAAAGAACGGAUGCGGGCUGACUGCCUUUCUCCUGCCAUUGUCCAGCAUGCCACCUCUGGAAGAAAUGAGGGGAAACAUGCAUUCCAAGAAUUGAAUGGAAAUUCCACUUACGAAGAAAGGAAGCAACUGCUGUCCCAAUGCCCAGAUAUAUGAAGUUGAGAACAACCUGAAGAUCAAAAGAAUAUUCUCUGUUAACUCGUCUAGCCAAGCCACCCUUCAAGUCAAGUGAUCACCAUAAGCCGAGGCGCACCUUGGUGACAGCGCGGAGGACGGUGCUGGUCGUGCUCUCGCCAAAGGAGUUGAUGACGUCUCCAAAGAGGACCGAUAUGAGGGGCUCCGACACGCCGUUGCCCACCGCCCCGAGCGAGCCGACCACCAUGAGCAGCAUGUCGAGGCGGUCGGCGUACCUGAACAUGCCGAGCAACGGCACCUUCUUCUCCGGCCGGUCAUCUUUUGCGCCGUGGGCGUGGCAUGCUCCUUCUCCACUGCUAGCUUCUGCUGUCGCGUCCAUUUCCUGUCUGCUACUUGCUUUGUGCUGAUGUGCUCGACGAGCCUGGCCGCACUGCGCCGUGUGUAGUUCCUGUCCCCGGGGGUGGUGGAGGCACUAUAUAUACGCAUCUUGCGGGCCGCCCAGAGUGCCUUUGACUGUUGGGCUGAUUGGGUGCUCCAGCGCUGGAAGUGACCGGGAAAGUUUGCCAUGGAAAAUUACACGGAUUAUGUUUCGGCAUGUGAUUAAUUAUGGGAAAAUUCAGGACUCUUGCUGCUGCGGGUGCGACAAUUCAAAGAUUCAUACCGUACUUU